GACGAACGCUGGCGGCGUGCCUAAUACAUGCAAGUAGAACGCUGAAGGAGGAGCUUGCUCUUCUGGAUGAGUUGCGAACGGGUGAGUAACGCGUAGGUAACCUGCCUGGUAGCGGGGGAUAACUAUUGGAAACGAUAGCUAAUACCGCAUAAGAGUAGAUGUUGCAUGACAUUUACUUAAAAGGUGCAAUUGCAUCACUACCAGAUGGACCUGCGUUGUAUUAGCUAGUUGGUGGGGUAACGGCUUACCAAGGCGACGAUACAUAGCCGACCUGAGAGGGUGAUCGGCCACACUGGGACUGAGACACGGCCCAGACUCCUACGGGAGGCAGCAGUAGGGAAUCUUCGGCAAUGGACGGAAGUCUGACCGAGCAAAGCCGCGUGAGUGAAGAAGGUUUUCGGAUCGUAAAGCUCUGUUGUAAGAGAAGAACGAGUGUGAGAGUGGAAAGUUCACACUGUGACGGUAUCUUACCAGAAAGGGACGGCUAACUACGUG
rnacentral:rRNA from 1 species